AAAGUAGCGGCGAGCGAAAUUGGACUAGCCCUUAAGCUUUAUAUGCGUUAGACGAACGGUCUGGAAAGUCCGGCGAUACAGGGUGAUAGCCCCGUAGUUGACAACGCACAUUCAGUGAAAUCGAGUAGGGCGGGACACGUGAUAUCCUGUCUGAAUAUGGGGGGACCAUCCUCCAAGGCUAAAUACUACUGACUGCCCGAUAGUGAACCAGUACCGUGAGGGAAAGGCGAAAAGAACCCCUGUGAGGGGAGUGAAAUAGAACCUGAAACCGUGUACGUACAAGCAGUAGGAGCAGGCUUUGUCCUGUGACUGCGUACCUUUUGUAUAAUGGGUCAGCGACUUAUAUUCAGUGGCAAGGUUAACCAUCUAGGGGAGCCGUAGGGAAACCGAGUCUUAACUGGGCGUUCAGUCUCUGGAUAUAGACCCGAAACCAGGUGAUCUAGCCAUGGGCAGGUUGAAGGUUGAGUAACAUCAACUGGAGGACCGAACCGACUAAUGUUGAAAAAUUAGCGGAUGACUUGUGGCUAGGGGUGAAAGGCCAAUCAAACCUGGAGAUAGCUGGUUCUCCCCGAAAGCUAUUUAGGUAGCGCCUCGGACGAAUACUACUGGGGGUAGAGCACUGUUAAGGCUAGGGGGUCAUCCCGACUUACCAACCCUUUGCAAACUCCGAAUACCAGUAAGUACUAUCCGGGAGACACACGGCGGGUGCUAACGUCCGUCGUGGAGAGGGAAACAACCCAGACCGCCAGCUAAGGUCCCAAAUUACUACUAAGUGGGAAACGAUGUGGGAAGGCUCAGACAGCCAGGAUGUUGGCUUAGAAGCAGCCAUCAUUUAAAGAAAGCGUAAUAGCUCACUGGUCGAGUCGGCCUGCGCGGAAGAUGUAACGGGGCUAAGUAGUAAACCGAAGCUGCGGCAAUAUACUUUUGUAUAUUGGGUAGGGGAGCGUUCUGUAAGCGGUUGACGGUGUGUGGUAACGCAUGCUAGACGUAUCAGAAGUGCGAAUGCGGACAUGAGUAACGAUAAAGGCGGUGAAAAACCUCCUCGCCAGAAGACCAAGGGUUCCUGUCCAACGUUAAUCGGGGCAGGGUAAGUCGACCCCUAAGGCGAGGCCGAAAGGCGUAGUCGAUGGGAAACGGGUUAAUAUUCCCGUACUUCUUACAAUUGCGAUGGGGGGACGGAGAAGGCUAGGUGGGCCUGGCGACGGUUGUCCAGGUUCAAGUGCGUAGGCUUAAGAGUUAGGUAAAUCCGGCUCUUUCUAAGGCUGAGACACGACGUCGAGCACCUACGGGUGUGAAGUCAUUGAUGCCAUGCUUCCAGGAAAAGCCUCUAAGCUUCAGAUUGUAAGGAAUCGUACCCCAAACCGACACAGGUGGUCGGGUAGAGAAUACCAAGGCGCUUGAGAGAACUCGGGUGAAGGAACUAGGCAAAAUGGUACCGUAACUUCGGGAGAAGGUACGCUCUUGAUGGUGAAGUCCCUUGCGGAUGGAGCUGACGAGAGUCGCAGAUACCAGGUGGCUGCAACUGUUUAUUAAAAACACAGCACUGUGCAAAAUCGUAAGAUGACGUAUACGGUGUGACGCCUGCCCGGUGCCGGAAGGUUAAUUGAUGGGGUUAGACUUCGGUCGAAGCUCUUGAUCGAAGCCCCGGUAAACGGCGGCCGUAACUAUAACGGUCCUAAGGUAGCGAAAUUCCUUGUCGGGUAAGUUCCGACCUGCACGAAUGGCGUAAUGAUGGCCACGCUGUCUCCACCCGAGACUCAGUGAAAUUGAAAUCGCUGUGAAGAUGCAGUGUACCCGCGGCUAGACGGAAAGACCCCGUGAACCUUUACUACAGCUUGGCACUGAACAUUGACCCUACAUGUGUAGGAUAGGUGGGAGGCUUUGAAGCACGUACGCCAGUAUGUGUGGAGCCGUCCUUGAAAUACCACCCUUGUAGUGUUGAUGUUCUAACGUCGACCCCUAAUCGGGGUUGCGGACAGUGCCUGGUGGGUAGUUUGACUGGGGCGGUCUCCUCCCAAAGAGUAACGGAGGAGCACGAAGGUGGGCUAAUCACGGUUGGACAUCGUGAGGUUAGUGCAAUGGCAUAAGCCCGCUUGACUGCGAGAAUGACAAUUCGAGCAGGUGCGAAAGCAGGUCAUAGUGAUCCGGUGGUUCUGAAUGGAAGGGCCAUCGCUCAACGGAUAAAAGGUACUCCGGGGAUAACAGGCUGAUACCGCCCAAGAGUUCAUAUCGACGGCGGUGUUUGGCACCUCGAUGUCGGCUCAUCACAUCCUGGGGCUGAAGUCGGUCCCAAGGGUAUGGCUGUUCGCCAUUUAAAGUGGUACGCGAGCUGGGUUUAGAACGUCGUGAGACAGUUCGGUCCCUAUCUGCCGUGGGCGUUGGAAGAUUGAAGGGGGCUGCUCCUAGUACGAGAGGACCGGAGUGGACGAACCUCUGGUGUUCGGGUUGUGUCGCCAGACGCAUUGCCCGGUAGCUAAGUUCGGAAUCGAUAACCGCUGAAAGCAUCUAAGCGGGAAGCGAGCCCUGAGAUGAGUCUUCCCUGAUACUUUAAGUAUCCUAAAGGGUUGUCGGAGACUACGACGUUGAUAGGUCAGGUGUGUAAGUGCUGUGAGGCAUUGAGCUAACUGAUACUAAUUGCCCGUGAGGCUUAACCAU
rnacentral:rRNA from 1 species